rnacentral:lncRNA from 1 species
UUAGACCUUCUCCAGGUUUAUUUGUGGAUAAUUCAUGUAGUCCAUCUAAAGAAGACCUUAUCAUCCAUGAUAUUUGGGAUGACUAUGAUAAUUAGCAUUAUCACAUAAUAAAGAAGUAAAAAUUAGCUCAGGAAAGAAAUAACUUCCAGGGAUUGUUACAUAAGCAAUAAAUUUCGAGGAAUUGAUCUUCUAAUCAAGAAGAAUUCCAUAGUUCUACUUCAUUGG